CCCUUAGACGUUCUGGGCCGCACGCGCGCUACACUGACCAGUGCAACAAGCAUCCGUCCUUGGCCGACAGGCCCGGGCAAUCUUUGAACGCUGGUCGUGAUGGGGAUAGACUUUUGCAAUUUUUGGUCUUCAACGAGGAAUUCCUAGGAAACGCAAGUCAUCAACUUGCAUUGAUUACGUCCCUGCCCUUUGUACACACCGCCCGUCGCACCUACCGAUUGAAUGGUCCGGUGAAGCCUCCGGAUUGGCGCGCACCUCGGUGCCGCCGAGAAGUUGGCUAAACCUUACCAUUUAGAGGAAGGUGAAGUCGUAACA
rnacentral:rRNA from 1 species